UUCUCACUUUGCUCUUUCACAUUUUUACCUUUGCAAUCGAUCCAUAUUUCUCGUUCGCAUAAGUUUUCUAGAGGCAACAGAUUGGUUGCCAAACGGUGUAUGCUCGCUCGUAGUCGCUGUGUUUCGCUUGAAAUCGACAUUAAUUUUGGCACUCAUUGGCAGUCGAAGUUUCGUUUUUUUUCCCUUCCAUUCUCCAAAACCCAAUUGAAUGAGCUGCAAAUUGAAAUGACAUUGAGCAAAGACAAAUAUAUAUAUAUUUUCAAUACACUUUUCACAGAAUGCAUUAUUCUCAUUUGGUUUGGCGCAUUGAGUAUAGAAUCAACAUGGUUUUUGUGUCCCAUAAUUGAUACACAAUAAUGGCUAUAUAUAUACAUAACUGACACUUAUUUCAUUUCAGGUGUUAGCUGAGAUUCGGUGCUGUAUACAUUUCAAAAUCAUCACACACACACACAACAAAUUGUACACACUAAAAUGCCAUUCGGCAGCAUGUCAGUACAAAACGAAAGCGACAAAUCUUUGUGAAAUUGGCUUAUAAAACGUUCAUCGACAACGAUAGGAAUGAGGCAAAAUUUGAGUAAAUAUCGUAUCGUCAUUCAUAUCGGCCACCAAUGUGAACAAGAACGAGAGAAAAAAAAAGAGAGAGAGAGAGAGAGAGAACGAAACGAAACGAUAGGUGAUUGAAAACCAUUAGCGCAUAUGGUGCAUCACGUCACUAUGAAUCGUACACUCAAAGCACGGAGACACGAAGUGCAAAGGCGUUACUCACAGUUUGAACAUUGUUGAGAUAUGUAUUGCGCUUUAAGUUGGAACAUAUAAAUAAAUAAAUAACAAAGGGAGAGAGAGAGAAGGCAAAAGAAGAUGAAGCGAAAAGACGCUAUAGCAAAUACGCCUUUUGUGCUUGUUUCACUCUCUAGUGCACACACAAAACGAACGUAAAUAUUAAAUUCAUGCCAUGGACAAAGUUUGGAAGUGUAAAAAAAUGAGUGGUAAAACCUCAUAUAACACACAAAACAACCAAAGUGAUAUUAUUUAUGUACUUGAGCAUGGCACAAUGUCGUAGUUCAUUUUAAAAGCGAAUUGUACGGCAAAUGCCUUACAAUAUUGAUGCGACUGCAUCACAUUGAACCGCAUCCCAUAAAUUUUCCUUUGCCUUUCUCUCGCAACCAGCGACAAUUUCACUCUCACUGUGUGCAAUUGAGCAAAGGAAUGGAAAAGAGAAGAAGAAAUGACAACACACGAUGCCAUUGUAGUAUACAUAAAACGAAUCAAUGGGAUGUGUAAGCCCACAAAUUUGAAAUGCAAGUGCGACGAAUUCUCGCAAACCCACCGUAAUAAAUCAUAAAGCCCGAAUCUCUCUCUGCCACUCUCUGUGUGUGUGCUUACUGAAGUGUGGGCGCGUAACGAGCAAAUAUAUAUACAUAUUUGUGCUUAGGCGCGAAACGUUCAAUUACAAACAAUAUACGCGAGAUAAUGUCAAUGGGAACUGGGCCAAUGGGAUUGUUGUUGUAGUUGCUUCUGUCGAUACUAAACUUUAGUUUACUAAACAUCGAUGCCACAUUUUACAUAGACAAACAUAUGUUAAGAUCAUGUAAGACGGCUCCAUUAGCUCCAUAAACACAAAACAAUACUUCAACGUCAAAUUCAGAGUUGCUGUGUGAACUACGCAUUUCGUUCAAUUUGGCUUACGUUUUUGAUUGGUUCAUUUGUCCUUGGAUGUGGUAAAGAGUACCCACGCCAUACACACAUACUCUUUCUCUAUUACAUGCUCUGGAAUUGAUCUGGACAAUCAUAGCCAGAGAUGUUGUGUAUUCUCUCCGUUGUUUUCUUGUUUAGCAAUGUCGUAAGUUCAUCUGUCACUAUCACCGAAAGUGUUGUGUGUCGGCGAGACAUAGCGUCUCAAGUGGUGCACAGAGCCAAAGUGGGAAAUUGUGCGUUGUUUUCUUGAUGAACUUACCACAGUUCAAACAAACACUUAUCAACAGCAUGAGUGUCACACCACCGUACUCUUUACUUACGUGUGUGUGUGUGCUUGUGUUUGCGACAACAAACCACAGAUGUUUUGUCAAUGUGUUUUCAGUAUAGCCGGUAGCUAUAUUCAACCGUCAACCAACAACCAGGACAGGGAGCAACGAAGACGAUGGUGAUGACGACGACGAUGACGACGACGACGAUACAGCAAAGCCGUAAAGUUGUUCACAUUCAGACGAAUGAAGUGCUUUCACAAAGUGCGUUCAUGCCGUGGGAAAUAUCAAAUUUCUCGUGCAUUCACUCGCUGUCGCUGCCUUUUGGCCGGAUGGAAAUGAGUGUUCGUCGAUUGUGCAGACAAUUGGGUUUGCGCGUUUCGGCUAAUAAGAAAUUAUGCGAUGGAAAAGAUUAUUCGCUUGGCUUCCAUACAUACACAAUCGCCUUUCACAUCGACGAGAGAGAGAGAGAGUUCUAAAUUUCAUGAAAUUAUGGCAUCGCUUAUGCACUUUAACUUCUUAUGAAGUCGUUAUGAAUAAGCUUAUUUAAGCGCUAUACCGUAAGUCUAGUGUUCAAACACUUUUCAGCCCCUAUUUACAUAGUUUUACGAGGUUUCCCAUCACUUCAACACAAAACUUUAUCAAAUUAAAUGCACACAAUCUCUCUCUUACUCUCUCUUACUCGUUCGCUCGAAGGUACUUAAAUUACAAAAUGGACUGACUGAGCGACGAACUCUUUUCUUUCUUUUAGAUUUCCUUUUCCUCGUGUUCGCUUUGCUUUUCAUUCUUUAAAAUGAUCUGGAAAGUGUCUGUUUAUCUGGAUCAAGGAAAUUGCCUCUUUUAAACAACAAUAUCUCAAGUAGUCUGAAUGUCGGUGCCUUAUGAAUAAAGCUACUUAUAAACAUGUACUGAACACACUACUCGAAAAUAAACUUAACAGUUACUAAAAAAAAA